UUCAUUUGCUCCAUAUAAUUCUGCUUCACCUUUGCUUGCAGAUCUUUCUACUGGAAGUCAGCAGAAUGCCUCUGUCUGGAGAAAUGUGUGUUGACCAAAGGGAAAGAUUGGCUCAAGUGAGAACCGUGAUGGCUACCAGCAUCAGCUCCCUAGAUACUCUCAAAGCAAGGCCAGGCCCUAUUCAGGAAGCAGACGCAUUUUUCCUCAACUCUCCUAUUCAGGCAUUAACAGUGUGUAAAUGCAAUGUAAGCGCAACCUACAACAGCACGAAGUUAGCAGAAGGAAAAUGGACUCAGGAGCCUAGCAAAAGAAGGGAGCCUACAAAAAAAGCAAACAAGGGAAAAAUAAAAGGGUUUGGCCUCUGUGGUUGAUGGCUCAGCCUUGGCAACUGCCCCGGGGGAAGCUGCCUGCCCCAGCCUCUUAGAGAACAGUCUCACAAGCCCUGAUUGAAGACCUCAUCAGCCACUUUUGUUCAGUCCUGGGUGACCACGCAAGACAUGUUUAGAUUUUUGCUGCUUCUUUAAAUAACCAAAUAGAAGUCUGUAUUUGUCCUUAAAGAAAACAUUCAAAACCCACCCCACCAAUAUCAGAGUGACUCUCUUGUUCUGUGGAAAUUUACAGAACAGCAGCACAAGAAAAUCCCUCGGAAAUAAAAGCAUGUAAAAAAAGAUGGAAAACUGAAUU
rnacentral:lncRNA from 1 species